CUCAACAGUAGGUCUCUGGAAAAUUGAAUUAUUGCGGUAAGAGUGGGGUGUACCACCAGAUGAGUAACAUGAGCAGCCAGUGUUCGUGGUUUUUGAUCUGCAUACUAAGGCUCUAUGGGUUUAUGAGGA
ensembl:ncRNA C53C7.7 ncRNA